rnacentral:rRNA from 1 species
UACGAAGGGGGGCUAGCGUUGCUCGGAAUCACUGGGCGUAAAGCGCACGUAGGCGGCUUCUUAAGUCAGGGGUGAAAUCCUGGAGCUCAACUCCAGAACUGCCUUUGAUACUGGGAGGCUCGAGUCCGGGAGAGGUGAGUGGAACUAGCGAGUGUAGAGGUGAAAUUCGUAGAUAUUCGCAAGAACACCAGUGGCGAAAGGCGGCUCACUGGCCCGGUACUGACGGC